UAUAUUUGCCGCUUGAAAGAAAAACUUUCAAUACAUAAAAAUCAUUUAAAUAAAUAUUGGAAUG
rfam:Flavobacteriaceae bacterium MAR_2010_188 genome assembly, chromosome: I